GUACGCGAGCUGGGUUUAGAACGUCGUGAGACAGUUCGGUCCCUAUCUGCCGUGGGCGCUGGAGAAUUGAGGGGGGCUGCUCCUAGUACGAGAGGACCGGAGUGGACGCAUCACUGGUGUUCGGGUUGUCAUGCCAAUGGCACUGCCCGGUAGCUAAAUGCGGAAGAGAUAAGUGCUGAAAGCAUCUAAGCACGAAACUUGCCCCGAGAUGAGUUCUCCCUGAGACUUUAAGUCUCCUGAAGGAACGUUNAAGACGANGACGUUGAUAGGCCGGGUGUGUAAGCGCAGCGAUGCGUUGAGCUAACCGGUACUAAUGAACCGUGAGGCUUAACCUUACAACGCCGAAG
rnacentral:rRNA from 1 species